CUUCCCAGAUUAAGAAUUUCUACCCUUCCACACUAGCAGGAGAAUUGUUCUACAAUCUCAUUAGCAAAAGGUAUACUUUUGCACAUUUGUUAUCAGUGGCAUGAGAUCCAGCUCCUAAGACACACCAAGAUCUCAGAACAGAUGGAGGAAAAUUGCUCUUGCUUGUUUCAACAAGGUUUUUCAUCUGCUUGGAGCAAAUUCUGGUAUUUUCAUCCAUGCCAGAACAACCUCCAAGCUCCACCUGUGCCAGAACACCUCAGUCUUGUCAAACAAGUUUCAGUUACACACAUUCAGCAUUCAAAGAGCUCAGAAGAAGCAUAACUGCUCAGCACAAAUGCUCCUUAAGUGAAAUCCAAUCAUGAAAACGCAUUGGAAAUUCAGAAAUUGGAGCUUGAAAACUGGCAGAAAAGCAACCUGUGGUUUUCCUACAUAAACUCUUCCUGUUCAAGAACUCAGCAAGGCAUCUUAAUAAACAUCACUCGUGUUCCUGAGGUACUCAGGAUCCCACAGGUGCUGUUCUGUGUUGCAGGAAGCUACCGCACAGGAGGAAAACUUAUCUGCAUAAGAGGCAUCUCUGCAAGUUCCUUUACUUUUUUCCCAAACAAAUGAGAGAUUUUCUGGUCUGUAAAGCCAUGAAGCAUUAAAAAGAGAUCAGUGCUGACUUCAGUAUGAAGGACAGCUACAACAGCUAUUUAGUUAAGGACUUGUUCCUAGUCAGCUGACGAGAACCUUCUUGCAUUGUGUGGUUGCCUGAAAGAGUUCAAGCCCUGGUUUUCUCUGUUGUCUGAAAUGUAAUUGACGUGUAAACAUCUUAACAAUGCAGUUUGAUAAUGAAAAAGCACAGCCAGAUAGGCAUUGUGAUUAUUAAAUUCCACACUGUUAUACAGCUGGGUAUUUACUAGGGAUCAAUAUUUGCAGCAGUUUCUGUCCCUGGUGUUAUAUAGGAUGCUCCGUUCUUUUUGUAAAAGCAUGUAAAUACUAAAACUUUGCAGUUGAUUAACACAUUUAUAUCCCAUUAGGAAGUAUAAAUUUGUCUUUAAGACUUCAGUGUCUACCAGGAACUCAUCUGCUGGGCAUAGAUGCAUUCCUGAGGAUUUUUUGUCCAAUGUUUCUACAAUAGUCAGAGAUAAUAAAGAACAUCUGACUACUUUGACAGCAAUAAGAAAACAUUUGAUUUAAUAUACAAAGAGUUUGAAAACCAUUGCAAGGUUAUGAACUACAAUACUGUAUAGUUCAUUGUCUCUCACAUCGAUGACAGGCAAAAUAAUUAAUGGAGUUAUUGUAGUUAACAUAUUUCUGGAGCUGAGUAGUGAGUAAAGUCAUAAAGACCUGAUGUUCAACAGAGUCAAUGGCAUGAAUGGGCGGGAGAAACAAAAUGUGAAGUGAAGGAGUCACAAAGAGAAAUACUACAGGAAGGGCUUUCAUAGAUUAAAAGGAAAAGAAAUAUUUCAAUACAAGAACGGUUCUUACAAAGGACUAAUAUGGCCAACAGUUUUAGACAGACAGAUGUUUUUGAAAGGAAAGAGGGACAUGAUUUUCUAAUAAUUGAGCAGCCCCUCCACUAUAGAACCAGUUUAUUCUCAUUACAACCAUGCUUCAGAUGUUUUCAUCAGUACAAAUGCCUCACUGGGACAAAAGUUAGUGGGGUUUGUGGUUCACAUCCUCCAUAAUAGCAGAUUUUUCCAUCAAGGACACAAAUGACAAUUAUUUUUAUUCUUCUUGGAGACUCUAGAUAUGUCCUACCCACUACAGGGGGCAGGACACAAUACAACACGUGCAAAAUAUCAUCAGUGCAAGCCUGAAUGUGAUUUCAAUCAGAACACACAAAAUAUGAAUCGUGUCACUCGCUUUGAAGACGAAAACCCAGACACCAUUAAAAGACAUUUUUAUCACAGCUGCUUUGAACCUUUAUCGUUUGUCUUGAAUGUUUAACCAAAAGAUUUGAGAAAAAGCAAGUCCAAAAUGAAGAUCUGCUGAAUUAUCUAGGGUAAGAAAUUUUUAAUCACAAAAGAAACCCAAUAUAAUUCCCCUCUUGCUAACCUCUCCUUACCCAUUUUGUAGUCUAAUUCCCACCGCACAGCCCCCUCGCCUUCCUCCUCCGAUUCUCUCUCUCAGUCAAUCUUAUAUUCCACAUCCGCCCACUGCCUCCCAUUUUGGACACAUAUUAAUGAAUGCAAAUAGCAUCUUCCCACUAACAAGUAAUGGGGAAGAGGAAGAAGAGAAGAAGUGAAGGGAAAUGUGAGAGCUCUUAAAUAAAUAAUAAUAUUUACACUCUUAUGUAAACCUUAAUUUACAGAUCUCAAAGUGCUUUGGGAAAGUAGGUAUUGUUAGCUUCUUUAUUAUUCAAAGACAGUUCAAAGACUUUUUUUUUUAAAUCCAUUGUUUUCCUCCUACACAAUUUGUUAACCCUUGGCUGACACUGGAAACGGUGUUGCCGGUAGCAGAAUAAGCAAGUAUAAUUACCAGGCAGCCAGCUAAGCAUGUUCGCACUGCAGGAAGGACUCAUCUCAUGUUCCCAACCUGUACACUUCUGCUGCCCAUGAGCUGGCCAGUCUGCUGGCCUCCACGUGCUACACUUGACAUUUACCAUUGCCACACUUACUUGUCUUCUACCUAAAUGACUUAUGCCUAAAAGGUUGAUUUGAGAAUGACUUCACUAAAAUAAUCUCCCACAGACAUACUAGUCUUUCAAAGGGUGAAUGAGUACGAAUUCCAUAUAGAAUUGCACAUUUCAAAUGAAGCAUUAAAUACCUCAAAUUCUAGUUUAGAAACCGAAACUGACAUUUGCUCUUUAUUGCAAAAUCCUUGGCAGUAUCUCCUUUCAAAGUUUUCAUCCGUGAUAAUAUCUCUUAGAUAAUUCUGUCUGAGUUAUCUAAACUCACAUCACAGAGGUGAUCUGCUGCCAUAAGGUGAGAGAAUAAAUCUAUUUUCUUUAACCUUAUUUCCCAUACAACUAAUUAUCCAACAUGCAAGUUUUGUACAUAUCUUUAAAUGAAAUCUGCAAAAUUAACAGUAAAAUUAAACUUUCUGAGAUGCACUAAAUGCCAGGCAGAGUAACUUUCCUUAAGAUAUAGUUCCUGAGCAGUCCAUUUACAUGGACUUUCUAUGGACUUCAGGUGCAUACAUAUUUAAGAUGUAUUUAGUAAGUGGAGUCACUAGAAUCAGACCACCUUCACCUGUUACUGGCAUAGCUUCUUGUAAACAUUUAAAAAUAAAAAUCUACCAUAGAUUACAGUUCCUACUGAUUUAGAAGAACUUACAUACACUUAUCUAUACACAUGUAAGACAUAUAUUGGUUUGUUCAUCCAAUUACACAAAUAUUUUUUACUUUUUAAAAGGGUAUUAAAGGAUUAAUGUGACCAAUGUUUGUUUGUUUGUUUUUCCAAAGGAAGACUUCCAUCAAUGUGGGGACAUGCACAGCAGAGUUUUAUUGAAUAAAUCUCUGAACUUUGGGCUCAGUGCUGGUAGAAAGGGGCUUUCAGCAGUGAGGCAGGGAGAAGUAACCAAGGGAGUUAAAAACGAAAUCAAAGCAAAAUAUUCUCUGUCACGUUGUUGAGGUGACUCCAUCUUCAACUUUCUUUCCUAAAGCAAACUUUGGUCUGACACUCAAGCCAAAAGUAGUAGUAGUAAAAUUCUGGUUGAUAUUAACUACUAUUCGCAAAAUGAUUGUGAACAAUUCCACUACAUAGGAAAAUAUAAUUUUAUAUAUCGAAAACAGAUAAAUUGGUAAACCUCUGAGCGUAUAAUUUGUUUGCUCUCUAAAGGUUCCUCAAAAGCCAAACAUAACCCCAGUGCUAUGCUUACCUAUGAGCUUAAAUUUCCUGGCAUUAUAUGACCUAAUUAAGCCGCUGAUUUGAGUCUUGAUAAGUAUCAUUCUAUAGAUGCACAGUCUUCAUAAUCAUUACUUGGUUAAUAUACUUUCAUUAAAACUGUUGCAGUAUCAAUAUAAUGACAGUAACACAAAAAAAAUAAGACUUAUAUUACUUUAAAAAUAAGUGUUUCUUUGUUUAAGUAACACGCAUAAAUUAGCGCAGCAAGAAGACAAUAAUUGCUUCUUUAUUGUACUGGAAGGACUUUCUCUUUAACCUGAAGGUAUCAAGUGUCAUUUUGCAUUUAUUAAGAUUUAAACAGGUGUCUCUGUUACAGAUGAUGUGUAACUCAAGACUUGCAGUGUUGUAAAGCUGUAACUUUAUGCUAAUUUCAAUAAAUUAUGUAAGGCCCAUUUACAAAUA